AUUUAAACCUAUAUAGUUUAGAAAAACGUCGCCUGAGAGGGGAUAUGAUAACAUUAUACAAAUAUAUUCGGGCCAAUACAAACCAUUGUGUGGAAAUCUAUUCACAAACCGGACUUUACAUAGGACACGAGGCCAUGCGUUUAGACUGGAAGAAAGAAGAUUUCGCCUAAGGCAAAGGAAAGGUUUUUUUUACUGUAAGAACAAUCAGGAUGUGGAAUUCUCUGCCUGAGGAAGUGGUUUUAUC